rfam:Aedes albopictus isolate Foshan contig120155, whole genome shotgun sequence.
UAGCCUAGUGGUUAAGGCUACGGAUAGCCAAUCCGGAGACGGCGGGUUCGAUUCCUGU